AAGUAUGCUAAACUUGUAGUGCAGACUCACUAGAAGAAGGCUUCAUCGAGGUGAUUUGGAUUCUUCGAGACCCUACGUCUAAUAUUAGCUCAUCACUAUUAAUACAUGGCCCACUUAUCUGUCUCACAAACUUUCUUGGUUUUUGUGACUAAGCCGGCUGUAAGCUUACAGUCCGCUUUUACUCUCUCUUCCACCUCAGCAUUUAGUGAGCUUACAACUUGCUAUAAUACUUGCUCUCAUGAUUUGUCCAAGGGUAAGUCCUCAAGUCCUCCUUCCAGGUCUCCAUGAAUCGGUGCCAAAUGGUAAAACCAUGAAAUGAUUCAACCUAGAAAUGUUUCUGGUUUCCUACUUGUGAACGUGAAACAGGUUGGAGGGUGGUUUCAUAGUGGUUCUCUUUCAUUUUUUUGGCUUCUUUAUAUGCUAGUAAUUGUAUUUUUAGUUGUAGUCUAUUUUUAGUGCAACAAGUAAAAAUGUGUUGUUUUUAAGUUGUUCCUGACCCACAAAAAAGCUUGGCUUUUUUUGAAAUGUAUUUUUAUUUAUAUGAUUUUAAGAUUUCUAAUGAAUUAGAAUCUAGUCUACUAGCUAAACAAUUUCAUAAAAUUGAUUCUACUUAAUUACCGGAAUGUUUUUUUGAGAGAAUCCAAAAUAUUUCUCCAAACACACCCUAAACUUUUAUCAAACUUUUGAAACCUCGAUAGUCAAUAGCCUUUAGAAGAAUUUAAGUUUAAUAGUUAAUAGUUACUCCCUCCAUCCCAAUGAAAAAUGUCAUUUUUUAUUUUUAGACUUCUUGUUUGAUCUUUUGCCUUAUUCAAAAUUUUUGUAUAAAUAUUAUUUAUUUUGUUAUGACUUAUUUUAUUAUUAGAGAUCCUUUAUUAAUGUUUUAUUUAUUUUAUUAUUUACAUAAAAAAUAUGAAUAAAACAAAUAUGAAUAAAACGAUUGAUCAAACAAAAAAGUCUACAAGUAAAAAUGACACUUUUAAUGGGACGAAACAUGCUA
rnacentral:lncRNA from 1 species